rnacentral:rRNA from 1 species
AGAGUUUGAUCAUGGCUCAGAGCGAACGCUGGCGGCAGGCCUAACACAUGCAAGUCGAGCGCCGUAGCAAUACGGAGCGGCAGACAGGAGAGUAACACGUGGGAACGUGCCCUUUGGUUCGGAAUAACUCAGGGAAACUUGAGCUAAUACCGGAUAAGCCCUUCGGGGGAAAGAUUUAUUGCCAUUGGAGCGGCCCGCGUCGGGUUAGCUAGUUGGUGAGGUAAUGGCUCACCAAGGCGACGAUCCGUAGCUGGUCUGAGAGGAUGACCAGCCUCACUGGGACUGAGACACGGCCCAGACUCCUACGGGAGGCAGCAGUGGGGAAUAUUGGACAAUGGGCGCAAGCCUGAUCCAGCCAUGCCGCGUGGAUGAUGAAGGCCCUAGGGUUGUAAAGCACUUUUAGUGGGGAUGAAAAGUGCAGAGCUAACACCUCUGCAUCUUGACCUAACCCACAGAAAAAGCACCGGCUAACUCUGUGCCAGCCGCCGCGGUAAUAC